UGCAGCUUCACACUGCUUCCUCACACUGUCUGACACAGAGGACUGAUGAAGAAGCAGAGGAUUUACUCCUGAUGGAGCACAGAUCAACAGGCAAAUCUUCUUUAACACAGACCUGGUCCUCACAGCUGAUGGAUUUCAUGAGAAGAAACUGAAUGGCUGAAGGUUAUCAGAAACAUGAAAAGUUCCAAGCAGCAGAGAGAAGAGUCUCCUGAACCCAUCAUCUGAUUCACUUCAAAGAUGAACGCCAUUCUUAUGACCAAGUUUAAGUACUUCAAAAUGUUGAAUUAACAGGUGGGCUUGCUGUUCUUGGUCGGAUGCUGAAUCGGUCGUCCAUCAGUGUUAUUUGCAUCUGGUUUUUAUGAAUCAUGGAAUCACACCUUUAACUAACUGUUCAUGAGUCUUUGGGACAAGUUGCAUUGAUUAGGGACUAGUUGCACAGGUCAAGAGACUAGUUGGAGACAUGUUUACUAAUUGAAGAGUGUUUGGGACUACAUGCAGAUAACUAGAGAUAAGUUGCAGAAAUCAACAGUCUAGUUGCAGAGAUUUGUUUCCCUGCUUUUUCACUUGAACAUUGACUCAUAAUAAACCUGUAAAUCAAUAAAACAUGGCACUAACAAUGUUGAGGAUGUGGGUUUGUUCCCAUGGACAUAUACUGAAAAUGUAUUCACUGCACUUCACUUUACUUAUUAGUGUAUGCUGAGAAGCAUAUAUAUACAGCUCUGCUCUCACGGUCAAAUC